rnacentral:rRNA from 1 species
ACCAGCAGCCAUUAUCACCCUGCUACUCACAGCUGGCAGCCCAAUGAAGCUCAGCAGGUGUGAGCCUGGCCAGUACCUGGAUGGGAGACCUCCUGGGAAAAACUAAGGUAGCUGCUGGAA